rnacentral:pre_miRNA from 11 species
GGCCGCAUGCGAAGAUCUAUUUUCGCAUGCAGCCCUCUUAAUGGACCGCAUGCGAAGAUCGAUCUUCGCGUGCGGCU